UCACUUCAACCCAAAGACCUCUGCCUUUCCUUCCCAAUCCCCAUCACACCUAGGCUGCUGCAACACCACUGCUUUACGCUCUAUUCUCUCACGAGACUAGCACAUCUCAUCUAGGCCGCCCUCUUUCUCGCACUGAAAAUCUCCUACCCCAUCACCAUUCUCUCCCUUGCAAUAACUCAAACAGCUCAUUUGUUUCUUUUUUAUUAUCUCUGAGAAAACCCAACUCCAUUGAACCUAUUACCACUCACAUAGUCCACUUUUAAUCAACGUCCAUUAGAAUCUCAUCUGGACCCAUGGUAUCUACUUCAAUCGCAAUACCAACAAAAGUUCAAGUUCACUGAAAGCUCCUUCACACACCACAAUCAGCAAAUGCCAAACCCAACUCCUCUUCUUUGAUUUUGGACGCGACUCCUUUUCAUUCGGUAGUGAAGAUCCGUUUCAUUCAGUCCCUGUACAAGCAUAGGCAAAAGAAACCCACUUGCAUUGACCGAUUUGCACACCACACCUUCCAGUCUUCAAAGCCAACUCUUCUGUUCACAUUGUGACUUAGGUGCCAUGUGAGAAGACUGGGAGUGGUAAUUGGGCGUUUAUGCCUUACAUCUUUGGAGUUUUGAAAAUUCGCUAGCCAUAGCCAUUUUUUUUUCCCUAAAAUGGUUUAACGAAUGUUAUUCGGGUAAUGAUACUUUGUGAACUAUCAGGAAGCUUGGUGCCAUUUUUUCUGCAAAUGGAUGUGUUGUUUUUUGUAAAUGAUUUGAGAAUGUUGAAAUCUGGUUGGCUUCUUUGAGUCCUCACUGUAUUUUUUUUUUUUUAUUCAUGAACGAAAACAGAACUUGUGUGAUCAAUUUAAUAACUAAAAAGAGCUGUUGUGAUUAAUAUUGUCAUUCCUAGAUGCUGGUUAUAUAGCUACAUCAGGUUAUUAAAACUAAGUAAUGCUUGGCAUACAUAUUGUUGUUACUCCUUGUUUGAUCUCCAGCACAACACUUAUUUAUUUAUUUAAUUUACCUUUGUUCAGAUUGUUGUUCUUGUGCAUAUGAGAUUGGUUUUUCCUUUACUUCAUUUUAUAAUGGUGUGGAUUACCGACCUCCCAAUAGUUACUGGUCUUACAUCUUAAAUUAAUUUAUGCAAGCUUAAAUGUAGAUGAGAUGGUUAGUUAGGCCUUCGUUAGUGUGUCUUUAGGGGUCCUUAUAGAAAAGUUCCAAUUUUCCUAGGAAUUUAUAUCAAUUUUUGCUUUAGUGGUUAUAGGGGGCACCCUUAAUCACUUAAAUAGGGGUAUUCCUUAAAUCUUUCCUAAUUUAUUAGAAUCAUUUAAAUCAAAUAUUUUUUAUAUGAAAAUAUCAAUUUUUGUGAUAUUUAAAUAGGGGAUACCCCUUGAAUUCUCCAAAUUAUUAAAAUUAAUUAAGUCAAAUAAAAAAAUGUUUUUAUGAAAAUAUUAACUUUUUAAUGGUUAUAGGUACCUCUCAAGCCACUUAAACGGGGGAUACCCCUUGGAUUUUUUUUUUUUAAUUUAUUGAAACCAUUUAAAUAGAAAAAAAUCCUUUUAAAAAAAUAUCCUUUUAGUGGUCAAAGGAGUACCCCCUUAAACUACGUAAAUAAGGGGUACCCCUUGAAUUCUAUAAUUUAUUAAAAUUAAUUAAAUAAAAUUUCUUUCUUGAAAGUUCCCUAAAAUCACUUCAUCCGUUUUCACCUCACUAGUUUUAAAGUUAAAAAAAAAUCAUCCAACAAAAGGACUUUCAUAAAAUUAAUCUUAAUUGGCAAGGUUCUACUUCUUAAAACCCUUUGACUUUGGAGAAGUACUCUAGAGUCAAAGGGUUUUAAGUUAAGUAGAACGAAGACAGAAUACAUGCAUUGUAAGUUCAGUGAAGGCCAAAUUAGUGAUAGGGAAGGAGUUAGUUUAAAUGGAGUGGUACUGUCCCAAAGUAAUGUGAGGAUGGCUCAGUCCUUCAAGUAGAUAGAGGAUGUGAGGAGGAUGUUAGUCAUAGGAUUAAAGCCGGAUGGUUGAAGUGGAGACGUGUCACGGGAGUUUUAUGUAAUCGUAAGAUUCCCAAUAAAUUGAAAGAAAAAUUUUACCGUACAGCCAUACGACCGGUUAUGUUAUAUGGUAGUGAGUGUUGGGCACUUAAAGAGUCGUAUGCAUCUAAGAUAAGAGUUGCAGAGAUGAGAAUAUUAAGGUGGAUGAGUGGCCAUACUAGACUAGAUAAAGUCCGUAAUGAGAGUAUUAGAGAAAAUGUAGGAGUGGUGCCAAUUGAAGAUAAGUUGAGAGAAGGAAGAUUGAGGUGGUUUGGUCAUGUGAAGCGUAGACAUAUGGAGGCUCUAGUUAGAUAAGUAGAGCACAUUAGGUUAGAGGAUAGAAAAAAAGGGGUAGACCUAAAUUGACUUGGAGGAGAGCAGUACAGCAUGACCUAGAAUCAUUACAUAUUUCUGAGGAUUUAACCCAAAAUCGUUCAGAAUGGAGAAAGCGAAUCCAUAUAGCCGACUCUAAAUUUUUGGGAUAAAGGCUUAGUUGAGUUUAGUUGAGUUGGCAAGGUUCUACUUUAUUUAAUUUUAGCAAAGUAAAAUAAAUUAAAAUAAUUUGUUAGAUAGAAUAUAAACUAGGAUCACUUUAAAUUCAAUCCAAUUUUAGUUAAGGCCUUACCUGAAACUUAAGUUAACCUCUAGUUGAACCUCUUUAAUUGUUAUAUAAUUGUGUUGAGAGAGAAGAUGUAUGAAUAGAUGUGCAGGGCAAGGAUGAUAAUUUUUUGCAGGUUGCAUUUUAUUGAAAUUUUGGAAAUGACCAAUUUUUAGGAGAAAUUUUGUCGAAUUUUCGUCAAAUUUGUAAGUAAUGAUAUAUUUGAUUUGAUUUGUAUUAAAUCUUUUUAUUAUUAAAUUAUGUUUAACUUAUGAAUGAUGAAAUGUGCACAUAUUUUUUUCUAGUUUAAUUGAAUUAAUAAAAGUUAAGGUUGUGAUUAAUUAGUGCCGAUGAUGAGACUUUGAUCUUGUUAAGUGGAGUACCCACAAAUGGAUUAGACUCUUUAGGCAUUAAUUGACACAUUCUUUUUAA